ACACUUGGCGCAGUUCACACCCUCUGGCUAUUGCACAUGCGCAGAUCUCAUAAAUGAAUCCGACUUUAAUCAACUUAAUUAAGAUCUAUCAUCAAAUUAAUCGAAUUUUCGGAGGCCGGGGUGGAGUGCGUGAGCAGCGGUCGGACAGUCACCAAUCACCGGGCAGCUAAAUGGAUCGACGGAGGAUAAAACCAUUAAAAGAUGCGGAGAAACAAAUCACCAGCUCCACCGACAAGACCCAUUCACUGAAAACCGAAUAUAUAGAAGGUUACAAGGUAUACCCUCGGCCGGCUGGUGAAUGAUGACCAUCUGCACCCUAACUGCACUGUCAAUAAGAUCGUUGUUCAGAGAAAACCUUAUUUGUGCCUUUUUGCAAUUAGGGAUAUUUUCCCUGGAGAGGAAAUAACGUUUGACUAUGGCGCAUGUGAUUGGCCUUGGAGAAAGCUUUCAUUGAAGGAUGCCUAUAUGACU
ensembl:processed_transcript